rnacentral:tRNA from 1 species
GGGCCAGUGGCGCAUCAGAUAAUGCGCCUGUCUACGGAUCAUGAGAUUUCAAGUUCGAAUUUUGGCUGGCUCG